rnacentral:rRNA from 1 species
GAUGAACGCUGGCGGCGUGCCUAAUACAUGCAAGUCGAGCGAACAGACGAGGAGCUUGCUCCUCUGACGUUAGCGGCGGACGGGUGAGUAACACGUGGAUAACCUACCUAUAAGACUGGGAUAACUUCGGGAAACCGGAGCUAAUACCGGAUAAUAUAUUAAACCGCAUGGUUCAAUAGUGAAAGACGGUUUUGCUGUCACUUAUAGAUGGAUCCGCGCCGCAUUAGCUAGUUGGUAAGGUAACGGCUUACCAAGGCAACGAUGCGUAGCCGACCUGAGAGGGUGAUCGGCCACACUGGAACUGAGACACGUUCCAGACUCCUACGGGAGGCAGCAGUAGGGAAUCUUCCGCAAUGGGCGAAAGCCUGACGGAGCAACGCCGCGUGAGUGAUGAAGGUCUUCGGAUCGUAAAACUCUGUUAUUAGGGAAGAACAAAUGUGUAAGUAACUAUGCACGUCUUGACGGUACCUAAUCAGAAAGCCACGGCUAACUACGUG